AGCAGCCGCGGUAAUUCCAGCUCCAAUAGCGUAUAUUAAAGUUGUUGCAGUUAAAAAGCUCGUAGUUGAAUUUCGGGAUCAAUAUGUUGGUCGUGCCUCGGUACGUACUAGCAUAUUGGUUUCUCCUUUCUGAAGAACCAUGAUGUCAUUUAUUUGGUGUCGUGGGGAAUCAGGACUGUUACUUUGAAAAAUUAGAGUGUUUAAAGCAGGCUCACGCUUGAAUACAUUAGCAUGGAAUAAUGAAAUAGGACGUUUGAUUCUAUUUUGUUGGUUUUUAGGAUCGACGUAAUGAUUAAUAGGGAUAGUUGGGGGCAUUAGUAUUCAAUUGUCAGAGGUGAAAUUCUUGGAUUUAUUGAAGACUAACUACUGCGAAAGCAUUUGCCAAGGAUGUUUUCAUUAAUCAAGAACGAAAGUUAGGGGAUCGAAGACGAUCAGAUACCGUCGUAGUCUUAACAUAAACUAUGACCGACUAGGGAUCGGGAUGAUGUUUAAUUUUUAAUGACUCA
rnacentral:rRNA from 1 species